UGGGGAAUUUUGGACAAUGGGCGAAAGCCUGAUCCAGCAAUGCCGCGUGUGUGAAGAAGGCCUUCGGGUUGUAAAGUACUUUUGUCCGGAAAGAAAUCCUCUGGGUUAAUACCUCGGGGGGAUGACGGUACCGGAAGAAUAAGCACCGGCUAACUACGUGCCAGCAGCCGCGGUAAUACGUAGGGUGCAAGCGUUAAUCGGAAUUACUGGGCGUAAAGCGUGCGCAGGCGGUUUUGUAAGACGGAUGUGAAAUCCCCGGGCUUAACCUGGGAACUGCAUUCGUGACUGCAAGGCUAGAGUAUGGCAGAGGGGGGUAGAAUUCCACGUGUAGCAGUGAAAUGCGUAGAGAUGUGGAGGAAUACCGAUGGCGAAGGCAGCCCCCUGGGCCAAUACUGACGCUCAUGCACGAAAGCGUGGGGAGCAAACAGGAUUAGAUACCCUGGUAGUCCACGCCCUAAACGAUGUCAACUAGUUGUUGGGGAUUCAUUUCCUUAGUAACGUAGCUAACGCGUGAAGUUGACCGCCU
rnacentral:rRNA from 1 species